CCUACGGGGGGCUGCAGUGGGGAAUAUUGGACAAUGGGGGCAACCCUGAUCCAGCCAUGCCGCGUGUGUGAAGAAGGCCCUCGGGUUGUAAAGCACUUUCAGUGAGGAAGAACGCCUGGUGGUUAAUACCCAUCAGGAAAGACAUCACUCACAGAAGAAGCACCGGCUAACUCCGUGCCAGCAGCCGCGGUAAUAUGGAGGGUGCGAGCGUUAAUCGGAAUUACUGGGCGUAAAGCGCGCGUAGGUGGCUUGAUAAGCCGGUUGUGAAAGCCCCGGGCUCAACCUGGGAACGGCAUCCGGAACUGUCAAGCUAGAGUGCAGGAGAGGAAGGUAGAAUUCCCGGUGUAGCGGUGAAAUGCGUAGAGAUCGGGAGGAAUACCAGUGGCGAAGGCGGCCUUCUGGACUGACACUGACACUGAGGUGCGAAAGCGUGGGUAGCAAACAGGAUUAGAUACCCCAGUAGUC
rnacentral:rRNA from 1 species